rnacentral:lncRNA from 1 species
UUAACUCAUAUUUCAUAAAUCCUUGACAAUCCUUUUCCCUUCAUCGAGAAUGUUGUGGUCACUGAACAGAAUAUCGACUGCAAACCUGAUACGUGCAUCUUGGACCAUAUCGUGCGUGAAGACUGAUUGCAACGCAUUCCUAGAACGCCAGUUCUCUAACCAGUUCAAGACAAAAAUCCCGCAUGCAUCACUAUUUUCCGGAAAAAAGAAAUGUUGACAGAAAAAUAAAGUCAGAAAUGAUAAACGAUCAGUACAUGCACUGAACUACAAAAAAUUGAAAAACAUGUGAAUGUAGGAAAUAUAAGUACAGAGAAAGGAUCUUCAUCUAACCAUCCUUACUGCUUCAGUAAGUUUGGAUAUGCAGUU